rnacentral:rRNA from 1 species
AUAGGUUAAUGAGGCGAACCGGGGGAACUGAAACAUCUAAGUACCCCGAGGAAAAGAAAUCAACCGAGAUUCCCCCAGUAGCGGCGAGCGAACGGGGAGGAGCCCAGAGCCUGAAUCAGCAUGUGUGUUAGUGGAAGCGUCUGGAAAGGCGCGCGAUACAGGGUGACAGCCCCGUACACAAAAGCGCAUAUGCUGUGAGCUCGAUGAGUAGGGCGGGACACGUGGUAUCCUGUCUGAAUAUGGGGGGACCAUCCUCCAAGGCUAAAUACUCCUGACUGACCGAUAGUGAACCAGUACCGUGAGGGAAAGGCGAAAAGAACCCCGGCGAGGGGAGUGAAACAGAACCUGAAACCGUGUACGUACAAGCAGUGGGAGCACAGGUU